rnacentral:rRNA from 1 species
UUGAAGAGUUUGAUCAUGGCUCAGAUUGAACGCUGGCGGCAGGCCUAACACAUGCAAGUCGAACGGUAACAGAAAGCAGCUUGCUGCUUUGCUGACGAGUGGCGGACGGGUGAGUAAUGUCUGGGAAACUGCCUGAUGGAGGGGGAUAACUACUGGAAACGGUAGCUAAUACCGCAUAACGUCGCAAGACCAAAGAGGGGGACCUUCGGGCCUCUUGCCAUCGGAUGUGCCCAGAUGGGAUUAGCUUGUUGGUGGGGUAACGGCUCACCAAGGCGACGAUCCCUAGCUGGUCUGAGAGGAUGACCAGCCACACUGGAACUGAGACACGGUCCAGACUCCUACGGGAGGCAGCAGUGGGGAAUAUUGCACAAUGGGCGCAAGCCUGAUGCAGCCAUGCCGCGUGUAUGAAGAAGGCCUUCGGGUUGUAAAGUACUUUCAGCGGGGAGGAAGGGAGUAAAGUUAAUACCUUUGCUCAUUGACGUUACCCGCAGAAGAAGCACCGGCUAACUCCGUGCCAGCAGCCGCGGUAAUACGGAGGGUGCAAGCGUUAAUCGGAAUUACUGGGCGUAAAGCGCACGCAGGCGGUUUGUUAAGUCAGAUGUGAAAUCCCCGGGCUCAACGGGAACUGCAUCUGAUACUGGCAAGCUUGAGUCUCGUAGAGGGGUAGAAUUCCGUGUAGCGGUGAAAUGCGUAGAGAUCUGGAGGAAUACCGGUGGCGAAGGCGGCCCCGGACGAAGACUGACGCUCAGGUGCGAAAGCGUGGGGAGCAAACAGGAUUAGAUACCCGGUAGUCCACGCCGUAAACGAUGUCGACUUGGAGGUUGUGCCCUUGAGGCGUGGCUUCCGGAGCUAACGCGUUAAGUCGACCGCCUGGGGAGUACGGCCGCAAGGUUAAAACUCAAAUGAAUUGACGGGGGCCCGCACAAGCGGUGGAGCAUGUGGUUUAAUUCGAUGCAACGCGAAGAACCUUACCUGGUCUUGACAUCCACGGAAGUUUUCAGAGAUGAGAAUGUGCCUUCGGGAACCGUGAGACAGGUGCUGCAUGGCUGUCGUCAGCUCGUGUUGUGAAAUGUUGGGUUAAGUCCCGCAACGAGCGCAACCCUUAUCCUUUGUUGCCAGCGGUCCGGCCGGGAACUCAAAGGAGACUGCCAGUGAUAAACUGGAGGAAGGUGGGGAUGACGUCAAGUCAUCAUGGCCCUUACGACCAGGGCUACACACGUGCUACAAUGGCGCAUACAAAGAGAAGCGACCUCGCGAGAGCAAGCGGACCUCAUAAAGUGCGUCGUAGUCCGGAUUGGAGUCUGCAACUCGACUCCAUGAAGUCGGAAUCGCUAGUAAUCGUGGAUCAGAAUGCCACGGUGAAUACGUUCCCGGGCCUUGUACACACCGCCCGUCACACCAUGGGAGUGGGUUGCAAAAGAAGUAGGUAGCUUAACCUUCGGGAGGGCGCUUACCACUUUGUGAUUCAUGACUGGGGUGAAGUCGUAACAAGGUAACCGUAGGGGAACCUGCGGUUGGAUCACCUCCUU